CAGGAUGAACGCUGGCGGCAUGCCUAAUACAUGCAAGUCGAACGAGAGUAAUUUUAUUACUCUAGUGGCGAACGGGUGAGUAACACGUGGGUAACUUAUCUUAUAGCCGAGGAUAACAGUUGGAAACGACUGCUAAUACUGGAUAGGUUGAAUGAACACAGGUUUAUUCAAUUAAAGAUGCUUCACGGCAUCACUAUAAGAGAGGCCCGCGGUGCAUUAGCUAGUUGGUGGGGUAAGGGCCUACCAAGGCGAUGAUGCAUAGCUGUGCUGAGAGGCAGAACAGCCACACUGGGACUGAGACACGGCCCAGACUCCUACGGGAGGCAGCAGUAGGGAAUUUUCGGCAAUGGAGGGAACUCUGACCGAGCAAUGCCGCGUGAACGAUGAAGGUCUUCGGACUGUAAAGUUCUGUUGUUAGGGAAGAAUAAUACAGAUAGGAAAUGAUCUGUAGAUGACGGUACUUAACCAGAAAGCCCCGGCUAACUAUGUGCCAGCAGCCGCGGUAAUACAUAGGGGGCGAGCGUUAUCCGGAAUUAUUGGGCGUAAAGGGUGCGUAGGCGGUUUAUUAAGUCUGGUGUGAAAUAUUACAGCUUAACUGUAAAGGGUCAUCGGAAACUGAUAAACUUGAGUACGGUAGGGGCAAGUGGAAUUCCAAGUGGAGCGGUGGNNNGCGUNNNNNNUUGGAGGAACANNNNNNNNNNANNNNNNNNGCUGGGNNNNNNNNNNNNNNNNNNNNNNNAAGCGUGGNNNNCAAACAGGAUUAGAUACCUUGGUAGUCCACGCCGUAAACGAUGAGNNUUAAGUGUNGGACAAAAGUNNNNUNCUGCAGUUAACACAANAAAUACUCCNNNNGGGGAGUAUGGUCGCAAGACUGAAACUCAAAGGAAUUGACGGGGACUCGCACAAGCGGUGGAGCAUGCGGAUUAAUUCGAUGCAACGCGAAGAACCUUACCAGGCCUUGACAUCCUGUUGCCAGGGCUAGAGAUAGCCCCUUCCUUCGGGACAACAGAGACAGGUGGUGCAUGGUUGUCGUCAGCUCGUGUCGUGAGAUGUUGGGUUAAGUCCCAUAACGAGCGCAACCCUUAUCAUUAGUUGCUAACAUUAAGUUGAGGACUCUAAUGAGACCGCCGGUGACAAACCGGAUGAAGGUGGGGAUAACGUCAAAUCAUCAUGCCCCUUAUGGCCUGGGCUUCACGCGUGCUACAAUGGCUAGUACAAAGAGUCGCGAAACCGCGAGGUGGAGCAAAUCUCAUAAAGCUAGUCUCAGUUCGGAUUGUAGUCUGCAACUCGACUACAUGAAGGCGGAAUCGCUAGUAAUCGCAAAUCAGAAUGUUGCGGUGAAUACGUUCUCGAGUCUUGUACACACCGCCCGUCACACCAUGAGAGUUUGCAAUACCCGAAGCCGGUGGCUUAACCGCAAGGAGAGAGCCGUCUAAGGUAGGGCAAAUGAUU
rnacentral:rRNA from 1 species